UAGGGAAUCUUCCGCAAUGGACGCAAGUCUGACGGAGCAACGCCGCGUGAGUGAAGAAGGUUUUCGGAUCGUAAAACUCUGUUGUUAGAGAAGAACAAGUGCUAGAGUAACUGUUAGCGCCUUGACGGUAUCUAACCAGAAAGCCACGGCUAACUACGUGCCAGCAGCCGCGGUAAUACGUAGGUGGCAAGCGUUGUCCGGAUUUAUUGGGCGUAAAGCGAGCGCAGGCGGUUCCUUAAGUCUGAUGUGAAAGCCCCCGGCUCAACCGGGGAGGGUCAUUGGAAACUGGGGAACUUGAGUGCAGAAGAGGAGAGUGGAAUUCCAUGUGUAGCGGUGAAAUGCGUAGAUAUAUGGAGGAACACCAGUGGCGAAGGCGACUCUCUGGUCUGUAACUGACGCUGAGGCUCGAAAGCGUGGGUAGCAAACAGGAUUAGAUACCCUGGUAGUCCACGCCGUAACGAUGAGUGCUAAGUGUUGGAGGGUUUCCGCCCUUCAGUGCUGCAGUUAACGCAUUAAGCACUCCGCCUGGGGAGUACGACCGCAAGGUU
rnacentral:rRNA from 1 species